GCGGGGAUCGCCUAGCCUGGUAGGGCGCUGGAUUGCUAAUCCAGUGCGCUUGCGCUCGGGGGUUCAAAUCCCCCUCCCCGCG
rnacentral:tRNA from 1 species